rnacentral:lncRNA from 1 species
AUGGCUCCCGCCCCGGCGCCGGAGAGGGAUGCGCACCCGGGGCUGACGCUCGCCCCCGCCGGGAUGCUGAGCCGCGCUCUCACCGAGGGCCCCGCGGCGCUGUCCCCGCGCUCCGCCGGCGGCUCUGGCUCGAAAAGUUUCUCCAUGGUUCCUUUGUGUCGCCCGAGCGCCCGUUCGCCGGCCCCGACCUGCCCCCGUCUUCCCGGACUCGUUCCUUUUUUGGCGCCUCUGAUCCUGAGUCCUGGUGAAGCUGUUUUAAGUGGUUAUGGUCUGCACCACGCAAAGCUGCUGACAAUUCACCAAACUGUGAGAAAGCACAUCCCUCCACAGCCAGCUGGUAGUUCUAGUUCAAUGAACACAAAGGUCAAUUUUAUUACCAACGUUUCUGCAUGUAUUUCAGCCAUUGGACAUCAAAAGGCGAAGGAAAAAAGCCCCUCCGCUCAGUUCAGGAACAAACCUUCCCCUGCACUGGGCCCUAGAGGGCAGCCCUGGGCUGUCACUGGGAGCCUGGAGCUGCCCAGGAGCAGGGUGUCCACCACCCCACCCUCCGCUUCUCUGGGCAGAAUCAUCUCUCAUGGGGCAACCCAGAGCUGUGGGAAAGUUUCUGCUGACUGAAGCAAAGAUGCUGAUUCAGAAUUUUAAAUAAGAGAUAGCCUUAAUGAAAUAAAGAGUCUAAGUUUCUAUAAAAGGAGUCAGCAAAAAUUUUGUGAAAGCCCAGAGAGUAAAUACUAUAGGCUUAUUGGGCCCUGGGGUGUCUGUCUCAGUGACCCAGCUUCACCAAGCAACAAACCAGGACCCUUAGACAAACAAAUGUAAACAAAUGGGCAUGGCUGGGUGCCAAUAAAACUUUAUUUACAAAAACAGGGAGUAGGUUGGAUCUAGUUUGUUGGCUGCAGUUAAGCAAUGCCUGUUCUAGAACACUAGCAGAAUGUCUAUACGUAUGUUUGCCUCUAAUUUAAGAUACCCAGGAACUGUUAACUCAGUGAUUCAUACUAUACAUUCCUACCUAGAGCACAAACACAGUCCCCAUACUCAAGUGCUAAUAUUCAUAGAUGUGAAGGACAAGAGAUUGGUUUAUAUAUUUAAUUUCAUGCUAGAUACCAGUGCUAAUCAUUCCUAAAUGGAGAACUGCAGACAGAGUCUGAGUGUGUCUGUCAGUAGGACAUGAACCAUCUUCAUUGGCACCUAAUACAUUCUACAUGGAGAACAGCUAGGAUCUGACUGCUUUUGCAAAAUGUAAUAAGGUUCAAAGACCAAAGAACUAUAUUCUGAUGCCUGUACAUAAUAAUACAUCUGGAAAAAAGCUAGAUUGUAGAAUCAAUAGCAGUCAGAUGGUCCUGCAACAUGGUAUUCCUGGGAGACUAAAAAAAAAAAAAAGUAAAAUAUACAGAAGACUAAGUUCAUAGCAGUUUUUUAAAACACACAAUCUGAAUUUCAAAAUGUAGCUAUGCUUAUUGAUUUUUACAAAAUAACUAUGCUGUAUAACGCUGCAUUUUAACAACAAGCCCUGGUGAUUGAUUCUCCCUCUGCAUUGAAAUGAUGGCUACUUGAAUCAAACAGUAACUAACAGCCAGUAGAUGGCAUCUAACUGCCAGAGCAAGGUUCUAGACUGACACCUAUUUUUAACAUCAGAUUUUCUGAUUUAUGAGGGCUUACCUCCUGAAUAUUCAUUGGAAGGACUGAUGCUGAAGCUGAAGCUCCAAUAAUUUGGCCACCUGAUGCGAAGAGCCAAUUCAUUGGAAACGACCCUGAUGCUGGUGCUGGGAAAGAUUGAAAGUAAAAGACAGAAGAUGCAGUAGAGGAUGAGAUUUUUAGACAGUAUCACUGACUCAAUGGAGACGAAUUUGAGCAAACUAUGGGAGACAGUGGAGGACAGAGGAGCCUGCCCUGCUACUACUGUCUGUGGGGCUGCAAAGUCAGACACAACCUAGCGACUGAGCAACAACCCUCCGAUGUUAUUCAUAUUGAAUCAUUUUCAUUUUGAGCUCUACUCAUCACAGUUGAGUUUUUAAAUCCCCAUCCAAUAAAUUCACUCAAAGAGCUACAGGAGACAAAAAAAUUUUUCCUUAAUUUGAACCUGUUAUUUCCAACUGCAUUUCCACAUAAGAAGCAGAUGCAAUGUUCUGAAUUUUAAAAAGAGAUAAUUUAAAGACACGAAACACUGCACACAGGCAUUUCAAACACACUUAGUUCUUUAUGAUUGAGUAAAGCCGAGUUGCUAAUUGCUGGAUCAAGCCCAAAAGAUAUAAUGAGUGUAACACUAAACACCCUCCACUUGGAUAAAUUCCAUAGGAGUCAAUUGAGUUUAAAAGUUUCACAAAUAAUUAAAUUACUGACUAGGAUAGAGCAUAACGAAAAAGCCAAUAGCUUGAAUUCUGUUCCUUAGAGCUCAAUUUGCUUUUCAGCCGACUGUGUUUAGCUAUCUGCAAUUGUAACAAACUAAAAUCAUUAAAGACCCAUAUAUUUUCUUAUGCAGCCUGAAGAGAACUUCAAUGGACUUUCCCACACACAGAAAUUAUAAUACUUUUUAAAAGGAGGCAGCGUUUACAAGUCUUAACUCUUUUUUAUUUUUGCCCCCACCAUGCAUAUUGAAGUCAAUAUGCAUAUUGACUUCAAUAUGCGAGAUUAUAAAUAAUUUGGGGCAAAGAAUAAACAGAUGCUUCUUAGGAUGCACUUUCUAGGUUGUGACCCACGUAUUUUGGUGUUGGAGUUUGAGUUAGACUGAUUGCAGAAAUAAAACAGCAUUCUUGGAAAUGGGAAGGACAGAGGUCUAUGGGGGAAAAGAAUAAUCUAAUCAGAGACUUGUUUCUUACUUUAAUCACGAGCCAUAAAAACUGCCAACUCCCAUGUCAUGCUGCAGUAAAGGUUACAUCAGCACUUCAUACAAUAUUUAUGGUGUAAAAGAAGCCCUGCAGUCCGACUCUGACAUGACAUUAAUCUUCCUGCUCUCUCAUCUCUUAUCUCCCUCCCCGCCACACACACACACCCCUCCUCUCAGCUAAAUGUGUUCCCUGGUGCCAUUCUGAUCAUGCAGAUAACUGCCUGUAGAAUAUGGCUAUAACAAGCACGCUCGACCACAAAAUGAAUACAGAAUCACAUUGGAUCCUAGGAAGAUGC